rnacentral:rRNA from 1 species
UACAGGGGGGUGCAAGCGUUUGUUCGGAAUUACUGGGCGUAAAGGGCGCGUAGGCGGUUUAGUAAGUCAGAUGUGAAAGCCCGGGGCUCAACUCUGGAAUUGCCUUUGAGACUGAGUGGCUUGAGUACGAGAGAGGUGAGUGGAAUUCCCAGUGUAGAGGUGAAAUUCGUAGAUAUCGGGAGGAACACCGGUGGCGAAGGCGGCGAUCUGGGUCGAUACUGACGCUGAGGUGCGAAAGCGUGGGGAGCAAACAGG